rnacentral:rRNA from 1 species
AUGAAUGGCCGCGGUACUCUGACCGUGCUAAGGUAGCGCAAUCAAUUGGCCCUUAAUUGGGGUCAGGAAUGAAUGGAGUUACGGGGUACAGCUGUCUCUUUACUAGUUAUUUGAAGUUACUAUAUAAGUGAAAAAGCUUAUAUUGAGAAAAAGGACGAGAAGACCCUUAGAGUUUUACUUAGUGUGACAAUUGUAGUUGAGUUUUCAUAAUGGUUUAGUUGGGGCAACAUGGGAGCAUAAAUAAUAUUAACCUCCUGAAUAAAAUUAACCGAUAAUUUUAAAUUUGGAUAAACUACCUUAGGGAUAACAGCAUAAUUUUAAAAAUAAGUUUGUGACCUCGAUGUUGGACUAGGAAACUUAAAGGCUAGCCGUCUUUCAGGGAAGUUCUGUUCGAAC